AAGCAUGUGUAAUAAAUAUUGAAGUGCAAUAAUGCAACAAACUUAUAAACAAAAUUACAAAAACAAGGAAUGUGAGGAUAUAAAAUUACAGGGGGUUAUAUGCAAUAAAAACUUGAUAAUCAAAUAAUAAAAAAUAAAUCAUGAAAUAAGACAAAAGUAUAGGUUUAGAGAAAACCAGGGUGCAUGCAACCCGAAGCCCUUUUCUUUCUGUUCCCUUACGUUCCCUUCUUGAAAUUGAAUUUGCUCUUUCUCUUUUUUUUUCUGUUCCCUUAUGCUCUCUUUCCGAAGUUCAAUUUUUUUUCUCCUCUCCAAAUUGGAUUUUUUCCUCUGCUUUUUUCUCUUCGAGGUGCAUAUUUAUAUACACACACAUUGUAAUAUUAUUGUGAUCUUGCCUUAAUGACGAAUUAAUUGACAUUUAACAAAAUAGGGAAAGAAAUGGUCUAAUAAAUCAAAUUAUAAUAAUUGUCAGAAAAUCAUAUUUUUCUUCAAACUGAAUGCAGCAAUCAAUAUAUUAUUUUUUAAUUAUUGCUUGUAAUUAUUGUCAUAAUGCUGAUUCAAAUUAUUACCAAAUAAAACAAAAAUUCAAAAAUAUUCUAAAGUGAUCUGUCAUGCAUUAAUAUUAAUGACUUAUGGGCAAUUUUCCAAGAAAAUCAAAUUUUUUCACGUGCACACCCCUUUUUUCCUU
rnacentral:lncRNA from 1 species